GAAAAUCAACUUGAGGAAUUAGCAAUAAGUGAAUGUUGUUGAGGACAUUGAAAACUCAUAUAUAUAUAUAUAUAUAUAUAUAUAUAUAUAUAUAUAUACACACACACAUUCCUAUCCUAAUAAGCGCACAUUCCUAUCCUAAUAUACGGGUCCUAUCAUAUACUAGCAAAAAUGCCCGUGCGUUGCAACGGGAGAAAUAAGUGCACAUUCCUAUCCUAAUAAGUAUGUCUAAAGACCUCUCAAAGGUCAACAUCCUCUUUUUCAACACGGCGUCCCACCUGUUUCACAACCUAUGCUUCUCCCUGCCAUCAUUGAUAGUGGCCGCAAUGUCCGAGACAACGCCCGUGCUUCACUAUGGAGCAAAGUAGACGUUGCUAGAAAUGAGUAGCAUGUGUUCCUGUAUAUAAUUUCAUACAAUUAAUAAUGAAUAUCACGAAGGUAAUUUAUAUUACAUACCAUCAAAUCUUGCGACAUUUUUAAUGUAGCACUUAGGCAUAGAAAUAACAUAACAUGUAGUGCAUCACCCAAAAAAUUAAUACGUCAAAAAUGCAUGGAUAAAAAAAUGGUAAAACUAUAGAAAGGGGUAGCUACUCACAAAAAUAUGAAUGCAAUAGUAAUGUAACAUGAUGGAAUAACACAACGCUCUAAUAUUGAUACGUAAAGACGAUGCUGGGCCAAAGCGAAGUAAUAAUCAUCUGCUCUCACCAUACCUUGGCUUCUCAAGUUCCAAGGAUUUCUCUGUAAGGAAGCAUAUAAAGGUUAAGAACAUCAGACAAAGGUAGAAUCUAGGAAGAAUAUAAAGGUUAAGAACAUCAGACAAAGGUAGAAUCUAAGAUACUCCCUCCGUAAACUAAUAUAAGAGCGUUUAGGUCACUAUUUUAGUAAUCUAAACGCUCUUAUAUUAGUUUACAGAGGGAGUAAUUGGGUUGUAGCAAUCGUAUGCUGCUUGUUUCAAAGACUGUUUCCACUGCAAAAAGGCACAUUAACAAAUAAUCAAUGGUACAGCUGCAAAAUAAUAUUGAAAAAGUUUGUAUAUUUCACACUAAUUCGGCAUGACUACAGAUGAAGAACUCAAUUGCUUAUGGUUUUUCUCAAAGAGUCGUGCACUGCAAUUGGAGUAACUUUAAUGCACAUGUUCUAUGGCAAUCAGGACAGCCAGUGCGCCGAUCAUGUCAGUGCUUUGGGUACCAAAUUUAUCAACUAUAAAUCACCUUGACCUAGAUCACUGAACUUCUCCUGAGUCAGCAGCACAACCCAGACGUACAUAUAUCUCUCAUAUACAUACUCAGGGGAUCAAUUUUUUUGUUUAUUUCCUUUCUGUUUUCCUCAUAACAUCGCUUUUCUUAUUGUGCUUUUGCUCUCUUUGUUUGUCUCCUCCCAGUGCACCACUAAAAUCAAUCACGGAGUCACGGCUGAAGUAGAUUGGGUCAAAUCGAGUAGCAUAGCAUGUCCAGCAGCGCAUGCGGAUCUCCAGUUGCAACGAGGUUUUUGGCACACGGGAUUUUUGGCACAUGGGAUUUCUGCAGUUGGUUGUGAGUAGUGCUACUCCAUUGUUGCUCGAUGGAAAGAUAAUAAUGAAGUUAUAUGUACUGAGAGAAUCAGGUUAUCUGUAGUUCUGUACUAAGAGAAUCAGGUUGAGCUAUGGGCGUACUUUACCUCAAGUCCUGAAGCCUUUACUUUAAUCACUGUUGUUGCGCAUGCAAGCUCAUGCUGGAAUACCUUUAGCUGCAUAUUACAUCCACAAAUAGUUCCCCUGCUGCAAAAAUUAUAAGAACAGAUCACUUCCAAGGUUCAAAACCGUUCUUUGAACUCCAUCUUAUAGAACAAUGUCUAUGACCUUAAUGUAAACAACAUGUCUUAAAAUAGUAAAUGCAUGGGCUGCAAAAAAUUUGAAGAACCGAACCCUUCCAAGGUUCAAAUAGUUUUUUGAACUGUCUAUCAUAGAUAUGAAGAUUUGGGUCCCAGAAAAAUAGGGCAGGAUUAAGAUGCAGAGUUUUCAGUGACUCAUUAUGCUGUAGUUUGUAUCCCUGUUCGAAACGAAAUAUAUGUACACUGAAAUCCUAUUUACCCGACGCGAUAAGUCAAAAUAAUAAUCAACCAAUUGUAUUUGCUGAGCACGAGAACUUAUUCUUUUAAUAUGUCAGAAAGGAGAUCAGACACAAUCAACAAUAGGUUAUUUAGAAAAUAAAUGACAUGUCAAUUGGCAUACAAAUCUUCAAAAAACGUUUGACAUGAUGAUUUAGCUGUUGCAAAUGGCAAAUGAAUUACAGCUAAGAAAGAAAACAUCAAGUAGCUAGAAAAAAUUGGAUCUGAAAGAACUACCUGACAGUAAACAGGAAAGAAGAUAGUUGAGGCGUGCAGGCACAUACAAUGGCACCGGUAGGAAAGAAACCCAUCUUCAUUGAUCAAAUUGUUCUCAUGUUGUGCAGAUACGACGAGAGAGCUAUCCGUAGAUAGUGAGGUGCACGUAUGACCUAGUUAGUCCUGACACGCCAUUGAUUCAUCCAUCGACCAAAAAGACAAGGUUCCAACCAAGCAUGCAUGAGCACAUCCCAGGAGCUCCUAGCAGAAUCCUGAAGCUGCAACACGCCCUGCGACGCCCGUAUAGUUGCCUGGCAGCGAUAACACACGCCCGCCCAGUUAGACCCCGGCCCAGCGCGCCAGGGUCAUGACCGCACGCCUCCCUCCUACCAGCCACGGUCAGGCCAGUCCAUGGGAUGGAGUAGAAGUAUAAUUGGUUGUGGAAUAACAACAGCUACUGCCGGACAAAUUAGCCUCGUCGCCGGUGGCCUAGCUCCUGCCGCUACUGCCAGAUCGGGGUGGAGGGAAAGGAGGCUUGUGCUCCAGACCAGGGAAGGGAAGAGUCGGGAGGUGGCACGCAGGCCUCGCCGGAUUGGUCGGGAGCGGCGCGCCAUAGGAGGAAACAACAGUGACUUGCGGGAGGUUGGCAUCAGCGGCGGUGGCGAGCGGUGCGGCGGCCGCCGUCAAUUUCGAUUGGGCCAAAAAAGGGAUUGGGGCGUGGGGACGGGCGAGCGGGUAGGCAGGCG
rnacentral:lncRNA from 1 species